CCUACGGGAGGCAGCAGUGGGGAAUAGUGCACAAUGGGGGAAACCCUGAUGCAGCGACGCCGCGUGAGUGAAGAAGUAAUUCGUUAUGUAAAGCUCUAUCAGCAGGGAAGAAAAUGACGGUACCUGAGGAAGAAGCCCCGGCUAACUACGGGCCAGCAGCCGCGGGAAUACGUAGGGGGCAAGCGUUAUCCGGAUGUACUGGGUGUAAAGGGAGCGUGGACGGCAGGGCAAGUCUGGAGUGAAAGGAGGGGGCUCACCCCCCGGACGGCUCUUGAAACUGUACGGCUGGAGUGCAGGAUAGGUCCGUGUCAUUCCUCGUGUCGCGGUGCAAUGCGUAGAUAUUAGGAGUCACCCCAGUGGCGAAGGCGGCUUACUGGACUGUACCUGCCGUUGAGUCUCUAAAGCGUGGGGAGCACACAGGAUUCGAUACCCUAGUCGUC
rnacentral:rRNA from 1 species